AUCCUGUCAUCAGUGAGAAGAUGAAAGGCUUCGACGAUCACUGGUCCUCCCUAUGUAUGCACGCCUCUACUGCCAUUGGGGACGGCAUCGAUGGCCCCAAAUCUUUCUCGUGUGCCCCCGCAUGGCUCUAUUGGCACCGAAGCAAGGAUCAGGGGCCCCACACCUCUUGUGUGCAUGUGCGCAUCUAUCGGUGCCCCAUC
rnacentral:lncRNA from 1 species